CCUACGGGAGGCUGCAGUGGGGAAUAUUGGGCAAUGGAGGCUACUCUGACCCAGCAACGCCGCGUGAAUGAUGACUGUCUUCGGAUUGUAAAGCUCUUUUCUAAGGGAAGUAGAAUGUGACGGUACCUUAGGUAUAAGCCUCGGCUAACUACGUGCCAGCAGCCGCGGUAAUACGUAGGAGGCAAGCGUUAUCCGGAGUGACUGGGCGUAAAGGGUGCGUAGGUGGUUUGACAAGUCAGUCGCGCAACUCCGGGGCUCAACUUCGGAACUGCAACAAAAACUGUUGAACUUGAGUGCAGGAGGGGCGAGCGGAACUCCAAGUGUAGCGGUGGAAUGCGUAGAUAUUAGGAAGAACACCAGUGGCGAAGGCGGAUUGCUGGACUGUAACUGACACUGAGGCACGAAAGCAUGGGGAGCGAACAGGAUUAGAUACCCCUGUAGUC
rnacentral:rRNA from 1 species